rnacentral:lncRNA from 1 species
CUAGUGGACCUUUGGAUUCUUUUUUAUGUCCCAAGUACUGGACGUGAUUCUCCUUUAUUUUACUACAUUGAUCUGUUUUUAUUGGGAUAAUACUGUCUGUAUUGUGAAGUCUUAUUCUGUGAUGUGGAUCCAAAAGCAUUAGAAGUUUCCAGGAUUGGUAAUGAAAAGAAAUCUGGUUGGUCAAGAGACAUUUUUUUCCUGCCGAACUUUGUGGAGAUACACUGUUAAAAUUGACAUUAUGAGAAUAUCCAUGACAAUGAAUUAUUACAAGGUUUAUUGUUAUAUAAUGUGGAUCCUUUUGUUUUAGUGGGUACCAAUUUGAGUGCAUUGAAGACAAUUGUAUGUCCGUUGCUAACAGAUUUUUAUUUUUUAUAUUUGUUGAUAUUAGAUUUAAAUGUUUUGCUAGGGUCUGCAUACAUGCUUAUGAAAAAUUGGUCCUUUGUUGAACAUUUAAAUUUAUCCUUUACUAAUAACUACCUUAUCUCCAAAAAGUUAUGUCUCACGAAUAAUAAUGAAUCCACUGUUUGUAUGAGAAACCCCCUCCCUUUACAAUUAUGAUAUAUCAAUAAAAUCAAAUCUGUAAGAACAGAUGAUUUUGAGGGUGAUUAUUACUAUGACAUUGUUUAAUGGUUUACUAUUCAUAUAGUCGAAUACAUAUAUGUGACCAGCAACGACGUAUCCAGGCUUAUGGAGGUAGAACGUCAUUGUGAGAAAAACUCCGUUAACUAUAUGUGACAAGCCAUUUCCAGGCUUAGGAGGGCACAUUGUCUAAAAUUUUAUUUUUGUAUAUUUACCUAGAAU